CCGAAGGGACUGCGCGACUCGGAGUCCUUCCUACGGACAAGAGACGCUAGUGGACGGCAGUCUGUUCACGCGUGGGGGUGGGUGGAUGGGUUUGGGCCCGGAGAACUCCACCGUGUCAUCGGGCGCCACACAGCUGACACAUAUGUGGAGAUUCUCGAUGAGGUCCUGCUCCCGACGUUGGAGCAAAUGCGAGGGGCGGCUCACCAGCACGUGCUUGUGCAAGACCAUGCUCCUCAACACACGGCAGCCGUCACCAAAAACUGGUUUGAGGAGCACCAAGCUCAAGUGGCUGUCGUGGAGUGGGCUCCCAAGAGUCCAGACCUCAACAUCAUUGAGAAUGUGUGGGGCGUAAUGGCCCGGGAGCUCGGCGAGGACGGUGGUCUGCGCGGCCUGACCUCCGACCAGCUGUGGACACGCGUGGAGAAGAAGUGGGAGGAGCUGCGAUCCCGGCCGGCGAUGUUUGCCUCUCUGGCGGCUUCGAUGCCCGGCCGUCUGCAGGCCGUCAUCGAGAG